UACGGAGGGUGCGAGCGUUGUCCGGAAUCACUGGGCGUAAAGGGCGCGUAGGCGGCGCGGUAAGCGUGCGGUGAAAGCCCGGGGCUCAACCCCGGGUCGGCCGUGCGGACUGCCGGGCUCGAGCACUGUAGAGGCGGGUGGAAUUCCGGGUGUAGCGGGGGAAUGCGUAGAGAUCCGGAAGAACACCGGUGGCGAAGGCGGCCCGCUGGGCAGUGGCUGACGCUGAGGCGCGACAGCGUGGGGAGCAAACAGG
rnacentral:rRNA from 1 species